GGAGAGCUGGCCGAGCGGUCGAAGGCGGUUGACUUGAAAUCAAUUGUGGGGCAACCCACCGCGGGUUCGAAUCCUGCGCUCUCCGCCA
rnacentral:tRNA from 1 species